AUAUCAUGUGAUUUUUUUAUCAUGUGACAAUAGACAUCGUAUGCGAGCGCGGGGUGUCGUAGAAGUGUUUUAAUUUCAGAUUGGUAUUGCCUAAAACGAACAUAUUUGUAGGUUAACAAAAAAAUAUUUGUUUAUUGAAGCUGUAGUUACUAAAAAUUUAAUGAACGCCCUACGCCCAUACGCUGUAGCUAACACAAACGCAAUCCAGAGUUCGUAUACAAACAUGUUUAUGCAACGAGCCACUGACUCAAUGCAUACACAUUUAAGACGACUUAAACCGUGUUUCGGUAACAGUAAUGCUUUGACUCAUUGCAACCUUUCAUUUUUUAUUUAUAUAAAAGAAUGUAAAAAUACAUACAGACUAAUUUGCGAUUGUUUUUUAAACCAAGUGAUUUUAAUAGUUUCACAUUCGGGACGUUUUUUCAUUUUAAAGUAAUCGUAACUCCACUUUGCAAGGAUUGUUACCUGGCAUUGACGUAGAAACUUUGCGUGACGUAGUUGAGUAUGACGUAUAUAUACAACGCCGGUCAACUUUCCGAGUUUCGGUUGCGGGCAUAAUAGUAAUCAACGUAAUCUACGCGCGGCCACUGGUUGCAAACUUCUCGUUCUAUUUCUGCCUGAUAGGCAAAGGUUUAGUUCAGAGUUAUGCUACUGAUUGUUUACUGGAAAUAGCAACUUGAUCAACUAGUUAGAACGUUUAGUUUUAUUUGUAGCAGUGGUUGUGAAGAUUUUUCGUGGUUCAGUAUUAAAGACAUCACGCUGAAGAAACACAACUUUCAAAGAGCUGUAACCUUCAGGUCACUAAUGGGUUGAAUGAACUGACAGCUUUACUUCAACCAAAACGAAGAUUUAAAGAUAGAUUAACAAACUGAUAAAUAGCUUGGAACCCACUAACUAUAGCAUUAUUUAACACGCAUAUAAUAUAUAACGCUUAUAUUUUCAUAAAGAUCUGAUAUGCAGAUGACAUUUUCAUUAAAGGCCAAA